rnacentral:tRNA from 1 species
GGUCGCGUAGUGUAGCCCGGUUUAACACGUCACCCUGUCACGGUGAAGAUCGCCGGUUCGAAUCCGGUCGCGACCG